rnacentral:rRNA from 1 species
CCUACGGUAGGCAGCAGUGAGGAAUAUUGGUCAAUGGGCGCGAGCCUGAACCAGCCAAGUCGCGUGAGGGAAGACGGUCCUAUGGAUUGUACACCUCUUUUGUCGGGGAGCAAAAGACGCAACGCGUGGCGUUCCGCGAGUCCCCGCAGCAAAAGCCUCGGCUAACUCCGUGCCAGCAGCCGCGGUACUACGGAGGAUGCGCGCGUUAUCCGGCUUUAUUGGGUUUAAAGGGUGCGCAGGGGGAAGAUAACGUCAGCGGUAAAAUUGAGAGGCUCAACCUCUUCGAGCCAUUGAUACUGGUUGUGUUGAGUGAGUGAGAGGUAGGCGGAAUGCGUGGUGUAGCGGUGAAAUGCAUAGAUAUCACGCAGAACGUCGAUUGCGAAGGCAGCAUACCGGCGCGUAACUGACGCUCAUGCACGAAAGUGUGGGUAUCGAACAGGAUUAGAUACCCCAGUAGUC